GCAACGCCGCGUGAGCGAUGAAGGCCUUCGGGUCGUAAAGCUCUGUGUUAAGGAAGAACAAGUACGAGAGUAACUGCUCGUACCUUGACGGUACUUAACGAGAAAGCCACGGCUAACUACGUGCCAGCAGCCGCGGUAAUACGUAGGUGGCGAGCGUUAUCCGGAAUUAUUGGGCGUAAAGCGCGCGCAGGCGGUUUCUUAAGUCUGAUGUGAAAGCCCACGGCUCAACCGUGGAGGGUCAUUGGAAACUGGGAAACUUGAGUGCAGAAGAGGAAAGCGGAAUUCCACGUGUAGCGGUGAAAUGCGUAGAGAUGUGGAGGAACACCAGUGGCGAAGGCGGCUUUCUGGUCUGUAACUGACGCUGAGGCGCGAAAGCGUGGGGAGCAAACAGGAUUAGAUACCCUGGUAGUCCACGCCGUAGACGAUGAGUGCUAAGUGUUAGAGGGUUUCCGCCCUUUAGUGCUGAAGUUAACGCAUUAAGCACUCCGCCUGGGGAGUACGGUCGCAAGACUG
rnacentral:rRNA from 1 species